GGAUUAGGCAUGCAAGUCGAGGGAGAAAGCGGGGCAACUCGCGAGUAAACCGGCGUAAGGGCGAGUAAUAUGUGGCCAAUCUACCUUAAAGAUGGGGACAACAAGUGGAAACGCUUGCUAAAACCCAAUGGUUCAGUCGGGGGGCAUCCUCUGACUGAUAAACGGUAGGGAUCUUCGGACCUUCUGCUUUUUGAGGAGGCCACACACUAUCAGCUAGUUGGCGGGGUAAUGGCCCACCAAGGCGAUGACGGUUAGGCGGUCUGAGAGGACGACCGCCCGCACUGGCACUGAGACACUGGCCAGACUCCUACGGGAGGCUGCAGUCGAGGAUCUUCUGCAAUGGGCGCAAGCCUGACAGAGCGACGCCGCGUAAAGGAUGAAGGCCUUCGGGUUGUAAACUUUUUUGAGCCGUUAAGAACGAACACGGGUUAACAGUCCGUGGAGUGACUAAGGCGGCAGAACAAGCCCCAGCUAACUACGUGCCAGCAGCUGCGGUAAUACGUAGGGGGCAAACGUUGCUCGGAAUCACUGGGCUUAAAGCGUACGUAGGUGGCUUUAUAAGUCUGAUGUGAAAUCCCCUGGCCUAACCAGGGAACUGCGUCGGAUACUGUAAGGCUUGAGGACUGUAGGGGAGACUGGAACUCCUGGUGUAGCGGUGAAAUGCGUAGAUAUCAGGAGGAACACCGGUGGCGAAAGCGAGUCUCUGGUCAGUUCCUGACACUGAGGUACGAAAGCUAGGGGAUCAAACGGGAUUAGAUACCCCGGUAGUCCUAGCCGUAAACGAUGGGCACUAGAUAGCGGGCGGACCUAUGCCGAUUCGCUGUCGGAGAGAAAUUGAUAAGUGCCCCGCCUGGGGAGUAUGCUCGCAAGGGUAAAACUCAAAGGAAUUGACGGGGGCUCACACAAGCGGUGGAGCAUGUGGUUCAAUUCGAGGCAACGCGAAGAACCUUACCUAGGUUUGACAUGUAUGGAUUAGCUCUAUGAAAGUAGAGUAACAGCCGAAAGGUUGGAACAUACACAGGUGUUGCAUGGCUGUCGUCAGCUCGUGUCGUGAGAUGUCGGGUUAAGUCCCUUAACGAGCGAAACCCUUGUCACUAGUUGCUACCGAGUAAUGUCGGGCACUCUAGUGAGACUGCCGUUGUCAAAACGGAGGAAGGUGGGGAUGACGUCAAGUCAUCAUGGCCUUUAUACCUAGGGCUACACACGUGCUACAAUGCCUGGUACAGAGGGUUCCGAGACCGCAAGGUGGAGGCAAUCCCUAAAAACCAUGCCCAGUUCAGAUUAGAGGCUGCAAUUCGCCUCCAUGAAGAUGGAAUCGCUAGUAAUCGCGGAUCAGCUACGCCGCGGUGAAUAUGUUCCUGAGCCUUGUACACACCGCCCGU
rnacentral:rRNA from 1 species